UUCUUAUGAGUAACAAACCUAUAGUAAGACUCUCAUGCCAGAGCAAGCCGGGAAUGGCUCGGAAGUGCAGGGAAAACGGUUAUGCUCAUUGGCGCCAAAGUUAAUAGUGGCGAACUCAAAGUAAACAUAGCUCAGUAUUACCGACAAAGGAUACCGUAGCUCCACACCUAUGAGAAAGUAUUGGGGCUAUUAAAAACAAACACGUUAAGUGGACAAAGUCAAAUAAUUCAAGAUUAUGAUUCAUGAACUUAUCUCAUAGUUCAACCGUAAAUCUUCUGCUAGUUUCCCUAUUGAUGGUGGAGUCGUUUUCAAAGUCAAUUUGUACCUUGGAUUCACCCAAAACCUAUUGCCCAUACUAAGAGCUUGAGAUAGGCAACCACUCAAAGAUAUAAAAGUAUGGCCACCGUUCAUGUUUCCACUCACACAUGAGGACUAAUUUCUUGAAAACAUGAUAAAAUAAUUGUCCUCAAUUUUCUUGUCAUUAAUCACCAAACCCCGAUAGUGGUAUAAAAUAGCACUUUCAUUUUGUAUUCUUGCACUCUUAGUCUGUUCACUAUUGUUCUUCAAUAUUUGGUUAUCCUCGACUUCCAUAUUCCUUGCCCCUUUACAUAUCACAAUAAUAUGUAUUACAUUGCAAAAUAUCUGAUUUAACUAUAUUUGUCUAAAUAUAAAUCCCAACUAAAUUAUGUGUGUAGUAUAGGAGAGCUCCUGAACCCUACUUGUAGCGAGCCGGUUUCGAUAAGGAUCCAAGUCUCCUAUACUUUUAUGCUAUCCAAUAGCUAGCACACAUGGUACUUGAUAGAAUACCAUACAAUCACAUGUUAUAAAGUAACGUAAAUCUAUAAUAUUUAUUACCUUAUUGCCCUUGGGCUAGAAUACUCAAUAGAAAAACCAACAAUAAGGAUGUGGAGUCCCAUUAACGCCAACGGCAAAGUUGAGUUUACACAUUGUAACCCUAUAAUGCAUCACGUACUCGUCGUAUAAAUCCUGCAACAUGAUAAGCUACAGUCGUGUAUGUCAACACGUGGAAUGUACUAGGGAGUAACACCACAAGAGAGUAUAAAAAGUCCUACUUCUACAUGCAAUUUGGCGGGUGGAAGGUUCUAAGUUUAAUUUGCGUAAAGGUAACUUUUUUUCCUACUGUCAAAAUAACAUACUAUUUAUACAAAUGUCAUGAUUAAGAUGGAGCCCCCAACUCAAUCUAUAUCCAAAGUUGGUUAAACCCUUUCAGUUAAUAAAAUGUGAUGAGAUCACUCAACAUUCCCACUUCUAGAUACUCACAUUGUCGGUAAUAGGGACACAACUAAUCAAUUAGUUUUACACUUUGUAGAGGUUUGCACACUUUUCACCACAAGACUCAGUGUAUGUGAGCUGGAAGAUCGAGAACAAGUCUUUUGAAAAUAUUUCCCCUUAACCCAUGGAUAGGUCGGUACAAAUACAUUCCCCUACGUCUGCUAACCUACCGAGAAAAUGGGCCACACAACCUACUCAACUAAGCUAGAGCCCAUAAUAGCUUGUAGAUGCACAUUUAAGCUUCUACUUAUGAAAAAUUGUUUGAUCCCUUUGAACCCGGAUGUCUUUCCAUACAUGAGUUAUUCCCUGGUUACUCGAGAACACCCA
rnacentral:lncRNA from 1 species